UCCCCGUUACCGGGGCAGUCUAGCUAGAGAAAUUCAACUAACUAAAAGGGUUGCGCUCGUUGAUGGACUUAACCAAACAUCUCACGACACGAGCUGACGACGGCCAUGCAACACCUGUCACUGGAUUCCCGAAGGCACUCUCUCCUUUCGGAGAAAUUCCCAGGAUGUCAAACCUUGGUAAGGUUCUACGUUUACCAUCGAAUUAAACAACACGCUCCACCGCUUGUGCGGGUCCCCGUCAAUUCCUUUGAGUUUUAAUCUUGCGAUCGUACUCCCCAGGCGGCAUGCUUAACGCGUUAGCUUCGCUACUACCAGGGUCGAUACUGAUAACAGCUAGCAUGCAUAGUUUAGGGCGUGGACUAC
rnacentral:misc_RNA from 1 species